rnacentral:tRNA from 1 species
UGGCCCUUGGUGUAACGGUAGCACGACUGACUCUGAUUCUGUUAUUCAAGGUUCUAAUCCUUGAGGGCCAG